CCUUUAAAUGGCGUUUAUUAUAAACAGGUUUGGGUGCUGGGAACCGCGCUUAUGCUUGAGUCCAAGAAAUGCUUAUUAAACCCAGGAGAUACCUUCAGCCAUUAACCUCUCUGUAACUCAAGAGUAGUUAUCAGAAGGGAGGAGAGAACAGGAGAAUUAGAACGCGUGGGAAUAUCCGACCACCAGGCAGCCCGGGGGCAGCCCUGGGGAGCUCUCCAGCGGGUUCCCCUCGGAGUCCCCGCGGCACGUGGCGGGCUCGGGCAGGCGCGUCGCGGCGGUGGGGGAGGGGAGAGGCGUGAGCCCUGGCGGAGGGGUCUAGACUGCCCGGGAUCCGUUUGAGCAGGCGCGGAGUGCGCAGGCUCGGCCCCGGUGCAACCAGUGCGUGCCAGACCGAGAGGGGGACGUGGUGGCAGAGCGUUCGGGACUCUGAGCACAGGGCCAAGGUCGGCUUGUGCGCACCUCCGGACUGUGUGUGUGAUAAGACAUACGGAGCACUGCUGCAGCCUCGACCGGUGGCAUCCACUCCGGCCCGGUCUCUCCUCCGGCCCGUAGCUGUGUUUCCCCCUCCGCGCGGCCGCAG
rnacentral:lncRNA from 1 species